rnacentral:lncRNA from 1 species
CUAAGAUAGAGGUAGAGAGAGAAAAGGGAUCUUGAAGAGCAAAUAAGAACUAGAGGGAGAAAGCUCGGGGUUGGUGGCUAGGAGCUAAAUUGAAGUUAGAAAUUGAAUUCUUGUAAAGUAGAGGUAAGGGGGAUAGUCUCUUUUUCACUAAUUAAGUUAAAAUCACUUUUUCUACUUGUGGGUUUAAGUGCUUUUGUUAUAAUUGUGACUUUUUGUGAAAUUUAAUGAUAAAAUCCAUGCUCCUUUUUCAUGUGAAAUUCUGUGUAUGAUAAACUUCAUCAAUAUCUUGUGUUAGUAGCUUAAACUUCAUAGUUGUUGUUGUUAUUGAGUUGUUUACAUGAUUAUUUACUAUUUGAGUGAAAUUCAUGAAUUGGUGUAUGAUUGUUGUUGAAAUAUGUUUGAAUUCAUUUCACUAAUGAUUGUUUAUGUCAAUGUGUUGAUGGUGUUUGAAUUGGUGUGGUUGUUUUGAAAUUUGAAUGAGAAAUGAGAAAUGAGAAAAAUGGUUGUUUUUGGUGAAAAUGAACUAGAUGAUGAAUUUUAGGUGAAUUGGUGUUUUAAUUUGGUCUUCGUUGUUGUUUUGAAUGCCUUUUCAUGUUUGUAAUCAAGUGUAUAGGUCUUGGGGUCGAAUUUGGGAUCAAGGGGAUCAAAAUUGGGGUUUUGGUGUGAAAAGUUGGGAGUUCCCGAGAGGGAACAACCAAAACAAGGUAACAUGUUCUAGUGCAACUCGCCAGGCGAGUUGCUCAAGGACUGACCCCUUCGUUUUGGUCAUUUCGGGCAUUCGGGGUCGAUCCGAGUGGUUCCAAACUGAUUCUUUUGAUGUAAUUAAAUGUAUUUGAGCUUUCUAAUCCUUUGGAAACAUCAAUUGAGUUAGAUUGAACUUGAUUUUGUGAAUCGUAUCAUAAACUUUUGAAAAUGGUUCAAGAACAUGAAAUUUCGGAAAACGCGAUUUCUCAAGGGAAAAGGGGUAGGACUAGGGUUGUUUAGUAUUAUUAUGAUUUAUAAAAAUAUUUUGGAUGGGAAAGAUGAACUUUGAUUUGGUUUUGCUUUGAAAACUUGAAUUCUUUGAAAAAUGGCAAAAUGAUACGAACUUUGUGAAACUUUGGGAUUGGGUUGUAUUGGCCUAUGAGACGUGUAUUAUACUUAGUUGAGGCAUUCAAACUUGUUUGAAUUGUUUUGACAAAUAACUUGGAAAAAUGAUAAAACGAUACAAACUUAGGAAAUUUGGGUAUUUGUCGGCUUUGGCCUAUGAAACGUAUGCGUACACGCUACUGAACUUAUAUGUGAUUUGUAUAUAUACUCGGUUGAGGCGUUUGAAUUUAUUUACUUUGGUUUUGGAGGAUUUGUCGGAAAAUGCUAAUUUUAAUAAACUUAGCCGAACUUUGUCAAACUAAUGUCUUAUGGUCAGAAUACUUUUAGGAAACUUUGAAUUCAGUUAGUAACAUUUAAUGUGAAUGACAUGGUAAGAAUUGGGUGUCUAAAUUGAUGAAUGUCAUUUUAUGGCUAAAUGUCCGUUUUUAUGUGAAAGGUAAAUUUUAAACCUUAUGGUUUCUUUGAGGUGUCAAAUGUUGUUGAUGAUGUUGAUGUUAAUUCUUAUGGUGUUUAUGAAUAGAUGUUUUUUAUGAUGACUUGUUGAUUGUAUGAAUGUAAGAAUUUGAUAAUGAAAUUGUUGGUGAAUAACAUAAAUGCGGGGUGAUUACCAUGUUAAUGUUUUAUGGUGGUUAAUUAUGCAUUGUCGAUUCCUUACUUGAAAUUCAUGCAUUCAUAGUCAUAUGAGGUGAUCUUGAAGUAUGUAACUGCGGGGUGAUUAUUACAUAGCUUAUGCAGGACAUAAAUGCGGGGUGGUUAUUAUGUCGGUGGAUGUAUAACGGUAAAAUUAUCUCCGGAAUCCUAUGGUACCACAUGCAUUUAGAAGAGUCUAGAACAUUGCAUACUUGAUUAUGUGUUACAAUGUGUACUUUGAGGGUGAAGCAAGUUCCACCUAAUAUAAGUGCGCGUUGGCUGUAACACCCCGUUACCCAAAAUCAAUUUAAUAAUAAAUAAAUAUGCAUCAGAGUAAUUCCCAAACGGGCAUGUCACACUUCUAAUUCAAAAUUUCUUAAAUAGUAUAUAAAACUAUUUAAUAAACAACCAACUUUAAUCAUUUCAUCAAAACCUUGCAGCGGAAUAUUUUUCAGCUUAAUUAAUAACAACAUCCAACAUAAUUAUUCUCCAACAAAUAGUCUUGGCAUAAAAAUCUCAUCAAAGAAAAUCAAACAACAAUAGGGCUACAUCAAUAUUAUCCAAAAUUUGAUACAUAGGAAAGAAGGUAAGCAUUAAAAUCCCAAUUCCACGUAUCAAAGCCCUAGACACUUUGAGCCACCACCUACUACUCAGGAUCACUUGCAAGUUACCCAUAGGAAGGGCAACAUUUUCAAGCAGAAGGGGUGAGAUUCACAACAAUAAAUAUAGAUAAUAAAUUCAUCAAUUUGAAUCUAACACCCUAUCAUAAAUAUAAUUCAUCAACAUAUAUAAAUAUCAUCAUUAUCAAAUCAUCAACAAAUGGUAAAUAAGACCAACACCAUCGAUUCAUGCAACCCACAACCGCUCCACUAAGACUCUUCUACAACACUCAUGCAUGUGGUACCAUAAUCAGGGCCGAAGACCUCACCGCUAAUCGAAUGGUUAAAGCAUUCUUUUUCAGGACAUGAGUCCUCACCGCUUUGAUCAACAAAGUGUUCCACCGCUUUGAACGACAAGGCGUUCCAGAGCCGAAGCCCUCCCGCUUUAUACUUAUGCAACUGACCCACUUGUGUAUAUCUACAUACAACUCAACCAAAUGCAUAUAUAUGUAUAUGACUCACCACUCCAUAAUGCAACAUCAUGUAUAACUUAAUUAAAUGGAAGCAUACAUUCCAGCCAACAACAAAUCAUUAUAACCAAUCCAAACAUCCCAUAAAAAUACACCAUUUACAAUAGCCAUGCUUAAAUAUCAAGAUCAAUCAACAAUCAUCAAAACAGAAGCAACAACUCAAAUACUGGAAAACUCGCCUCGCGAGCACUUCUACUCGCUAUGGCGAGCACAAUGAAACGGCUUGCUCGCCAUGGCGAACUCAAGGCGAAUGAAAAUAUGGUGCUCUCGGGAGUUUUGACAUUUUUCUCACUAAAUCUUAAAUUCUAAGCUCCCUAUUCAUCUUUUUAAUCUAAACUUGCUCCAGUCCUCUCUAAAAUCAUCUAGGUCCACAUAAUACCCACUUGUGUAUAUCUACAUACAACUCAACCAAAUGCAUAUAUAUGUAUAUGACUCACCACUCCAUAAUGCAACAUCAUGUAUAACUUAAUUAAAUGGAAACAUACAUUCCAGCCAACAACAAAUCAUUAUAACCAAUCCAAACAUCCCAUAAAAAUACACCAUUUACAAUAGCCAUGCUUAAAUAUCAAGAUCAAUCAACAAUCAUCAAAACAGAAGCAACAACUCAAAUAAUGGACAACUCGCCUCGUGAGUACUUCUACUCGCUAUGGCGAGCACAACGAAACGGCUUGCUCGCCAUGGCGAACUCAAGGCGAACGAAAAUAUGGUGCUCUCGGGAGUUUUGACAUUUUUCUCACUAAAUCUUAAAUUCUAAGCUCCCUAUUCAUCUUUUUAAUCUAAAACUUGCUCCAGUCCUCUCUAAAAUCAUCCAGGUGCACAAAACUAACCAAAUUACGGCUUAUAACAACAAUUUGAAAACCCAGAAAUUCUCACGGGUACUCGCCACGGCGAGUUGUCUCACUCGCGGGGCGAGCUAUGAAGUUGCUCACUCGCCUUGACGAACAAGGCUACUCGCGAGGCGAGCGAUGAACUUCUGUACGGGCAGAAUGCAGGGUUUACCCAAAAAUCCCAUUUUCCUCCAAUUCACUCCCCAAAUUAGUUUACAGAUAUGAAAUAAAAGGUUGUAUGCACUCAGAACCCAUUUCUGACAUCAAAACAAUAAUUCCUACUCUCAAAACCCAUUAAAUCAACAUAAACCUAAAUUUCCCAAUUUCUACCAAAACCUGUUAAAUUCAAAAUCAGAACUCAAUAACUAUACUACUGAAGCAAACCUCACCCUUAGCUUAGAAUUGCAGAAGAAAUGUACAGCAAAAUCGGUUUCUUCGCUCUACUUGCUCUUCUCUCCCUUUUCUCCCAACUUGACAGUUUUCACGUAAAAAAAAAUGUUUCUGACUCUUUUCUUUCUUUCUUAACUCCCUUCUUAACUUCCCUUUAUUACAUUAAACUCCCCUAAACUUUAAUGAAUUCUAAUUAACUCAUCAACCUCCAAAAUAAUACUAAUUUCUCAUUUAUUAUAAUUAUUAUUAAAAUAAACCAUAUAAUAAAAUAUAACACACCACAUAAAUCACAAAUAUUAAUUAAAAUCAUUUAAAAGACUCUAAUUAACUCUAAAAUAAUUAAAAUAACGACUAGGGCGUUACAUUGGCCAUAACCGUCUUCGAGUUAUGCGGCGUGUGAUUAGGGACGAAACAUAACACGUGUAGUGUGACCCUUGCGCGAUGGCGCGCUCUUGUGUGAUACAAUGCAUGCAAGUUGGCGUGUUCCUUUGGGUGCGGAGUCUUACGGCGGUACAAGUCUGGUCACGUGUCAUCGUGCGGUUGGUCUUCUGACUGUCCAGAACAGUUGCCCCCAAGCCGUUGAUGACUUUAUGGCGCAAUGUGUAACAACCCGAUUUUUAGCUAGAUUUAUUUUAAUUACUUUUAUUAUGUGUUUGUGUGUGAUUGUGUGUAUUUUAUUGUCAUCGGGUGCAUUUACAUGGAUUACCGUAUUAGAAGGGUAUUUUGGUCAUUUGGCGGGUAAGGGUAAAAUGGUAAUUUUGGUGAGAAUUAUUUUAAUAAUUAGUGAGAACCCUUAUUUUACUAAGUUACUAGUGUAGUGAUUAGUUUUUACCGUUAGUGACCGUUGGUUAUAUUUUACCAUCUUCUUAUAUAUUAAAGUUAACAAGUAAGCCCUAAUUUUAACCUAAAUCCUAUUGCAUAAUUUUACUGUUUUAACCCUAAUGUUCACACCUAAUCUCCUAUUUUCAUGAACAAUCUUCUUAUAUAUUAAAGUUAACAUGUAAGCCCUAAUUUUAACCUAAACCCUAUUGCAUAAUUUUACUGUUUUAACCCUAAUGUUCACACCUAAUCUCCUAUUUUCGUGAACAAUCUUCUUGUAUAUUAAAGUUAACAUGUAAGCCCUAAUUUUAACCUAAACCCUAUUGCAUAAUUUUACUGUUUUAACCCUAAUGUUCACACCUAAUCUCCUAUUUUCAUGAACAAUCCUAAUGUUCUCUCCUAAUCUUCUUAUCUUCUUAUUCCUAAACAAAGCUUUGUUGCCUUAAUUUUAACCUAAUAUUUUAACCCUAAUAUUUUAGUAACUUUUCCCUCCUUUAAAACCUAACCAUAUUUCCUAAUUCUCCUCCUCCAAACCUUAACCAUCUAACUUCACUCCUCCUAAACCAUAUUUCCUAAUUCCCCUCCUCCAAACCCUAACCAAUAUAUUUUAAUCCUUUCUCCUAAACCGAAAUCUCUUUUCAACAUGGCUUCAAGAAACAUUCAGACUUUGCUGUCAUACCACUGCCUCACUGGUAACCAUAUCUUCAUUCCACUCUGGUUUAAACUAAAUAUAUAGAUUUUUGCUCUUAUUCCUCGCUGUUUUAAAGUAUAAAUCAUUCUUUCGAUCCCUUUCAAUCUUUUGUAGGUCCGUUGGUGAAAAACUCUUUUUCCGAUCUUGACAAAACAAUCAACAAGCUCAGACUGAAAUACAGAUCAUAUAUCGUUGAAUAUGACAUUGAUGUUGUAUGUGUUUUUUGUGAAAUAUACCAAUUCUUAAUUAUUUGCAUUCUAUUUUUAUCAAUGUUUGUGAUGUUUUUGUUUGUUAUUUUUUUAGGGUGCAGUAUGCUUGCGUAACAUGUUUGGCGGUGAUUUCGAAGAUCAAAUUGGGCGCUAUGCAAUAUUAACUGAUCCUAAGUCCAACAAGGUG